GGCCGAGCGUCCUCGAAUGAAGCGUCGGGACUCGGGGGUCGAUCGCUAUUCAUGCAAUUUUAAUCAAUGAGCAACAGCCGUAGGUGCGGAAUGCUCAUUGACAUCGUAUGAUCGAGGUUCGACGCGAGUUUACACAAACUGCGAUAGCAUUAGUUUUAGAGCGAGAUAGAACACAUAAUAUUAUUCUCAAUUCUUAUUGAAUGAAACGUUUUACUAUUGGUUAAAAUGUAAGCAAAGUAUUGGUGUGUAUUUUCUGAACUUGUAAAUAUUUUUUAAGUAACGAUUGUAAUUGGGUAACUAGUUUUAAGGAUUUUGUAUAUAUAUCAUGUAACUUUCAAAUAAAUCAUAUAUCUUCCACAUAUUCCUCACAGUCAA